GGGGAAUUUUCCGCAAUGGGCGAAAGCCUGACGGAGCAAUACCGCGUGAGGGAGGAAGGCUCUUGGGUUGUAAACCCCUUUUCUCAGGGAAUAAGAACUGAAGGUACCUGAGGAAUCAGCAUCGGCUAACUCCGUGCCAGCAGCCGCGGUAAUACGGAGGAUGCAAGCGUUAUCCGGAAUGAUUGGGCGUAAAGCGUCCGCAGGUGGUUUAUCAAGUCUGCUGUCAAAGAGUNUGGCUCAACCAAAUAAAGGCAGUGGAGACUGACAGACUGGAGUGCGGUAAGGGCAGAGGGAAUUCCUGGUGUAGCGGUGAAAUGCGUAGAGAUCAGGAAGAACACCGGUGGCGAAAGCGCUCUGCUGGGCCGUAACUGACACUGAGGGACGAAAGCUAGGGGAGCGAAUGGGAUUAGAUACCCCAGUAGUC
rnacentral:rRNA from 1 species